rnacentral:rRNA from 1 species
AUUGAACGCUGGCGGCAGGCCUAACACAUGCAGGUCGAGCGGUAGCACAGAGAGCUUGCUCUCGGGUGACGAGCGGCGGACGGGUGAGUAAUGUCUGGGAAACUGCCUGAUGGAGGGGGUUAACUACUGGAAACGGUAGCUAAUAUCGCAUAACGUCGCAAGACCAAAGUGGGGGACCUUCGGGCCUAAUGCCAUCAGAUGUGCCCAGAUGGGAUUAGCUAGUAGGUGGGGUAACGGCUCACCUAGGCGACGAUCCAUAGCUGGUCUGGGAGGAUGACCAGCCACACUGGUACUGAGACACGUUCCAGACUCCUACGGGAGGCAGCAGUGGGGAAUAUUGCACAAUGGGCGCAAGCCUGAUGCAGCCAUGCCGCGUGUGUGAAGAAGGCCUUCGGGUUGUAAAGCACUUUCAGCGGGGAGGAAGGCGGUGAGGUUAAUAACCUCAUCGAUUGACGUUACCCGCAGAAGAAGCACCGGCUAACUCCGUGCCAGCCGCCGCCGUAAAAC